rnacentral:misc_RNA from 1 species
UUGGUGCAGCUCGGGAACUGGUGGCCUAGAAGAGCCACCAGAAGGUGCCCCACGGCCCCCUAUACCACCACGGCGCUGGGGUUGUCCUCCCCCUCGUUGAUACUGCUGAGUUCCCCUGCCCUGUUGAUAGUACUCGGGGGGUCCACCAUAUGACUGUUGAGGGGCUAUUCCACCACGAGGAGCUCCUCCACCACCACGGCCACCAUAUCCUCCACGCUGAGGUCCCGAGCCUCUUCCUCCACCUUGUUGCUGUUGUGGUGGUGGGCGUUGGACACCACCUCGUCCCCCUCCAGUUUCGUGGGACUCAGAGCUCUCAGCACCACCAGGAACAUCAGUUCUCCUCUUCCGCACCAUGAUAGCAACUCAAAAUCACCGCCGGUACACCAAUUUCCGCCCUUCUCCAACCAACCACCGCCGUAACCUACAAAACGCAAAUGAGACGGAGAGAGAAGACAACUACUACUAUAUCAGAUUAGAGAGAGAAAGUGAUUCCUAGAGAGAGAAAACUAAUGUGUAGAUAACAAAAGGGAAAGAAGGGCCUCACCAAUUUCCG